GAUGAACGCUGGCGGCGUGCCUAAUACAUGCAAGUCGAGCGAACAGACGAGGAGCUUGCUCCUCUGACGUUAGCGGCGGACGGGUGAGUAACACGUGGAUAACCUACCUAUAAGACUGGGAUAACUUCGGGAAACCGGAGCUAAUACCGGAUCAUAUAUUGAACCGCAUGGUUCAAUAGUGAAAGACGGCUUUGCUGUCACUUAUAGACGGUUCCGCGUCGGAUUAGCUAGUUGGUAAGGUAACGGCUUACCAAGGCAACGAUGCGUAGCCGACCUGAGAGGGUGAUCGGCCACACUGGAACUGAGACACGGUCCAGACUCCUACGGGAGGCAGCAGUAGGGAAUCUUCCGCAAUGGGCGAAAGCCUGACGGAGCAACGCCGCGUGAGUGAUGAAGGUCUUCGGAUCGUAAAACUCUGUUAUUAGGGAAGAACAAAUGUGUGAGUAACUAUGCACGUCUUGACGGUACCUAAACAGAAAGCCACGGCUAACUACGUG
rnacentral:rRNA from 1 species